rnacentral:rRNA from 1 species
UGAAAAGUCAUCCAGAAUCUUAUACCAGUAGAAACACUCGUACCUUUUGCAUCAUGGCCAUACAAUUCAAAAAGAAACCCUACAACCCCGAACCUUUAUAGAGCUGAACCGGCCCCGUUAAGAACUAAAAGAGAAAUAUAGAAAGAUUUCUUUCAGAGACCGUUUCAGAGGCUACAUACCAUCCGCGAAAAGAAAUAGCUGGCUCUACUUUAAAUUCAUCAAAGUGAAAGAAACUGGCUCACGACGCCUGUUCUCCUAUUCAGUAGAGGACAAGCUCUACUGACCCAGCAAUCCCCCUACCAUAUUAAGCCCGUAGACCUAAAAGUGGCCAACGACUUAGUGUAUAACAACUUCCUAAUAUAAGAAAAAUAAUUAAUACAAUAAUAUGCUAACAAAAAAGUAGACCUUUUUUCAACCCUUUAAUUAUGCUUACAUAUACGGAUUACUACUUACCACACUACCCCACAAUCACUUUAUCACAUAUGAUGAAGGAACUCGGCAACCCCAAGCCCCGACUGUUUAUCAAAAACAUUGCCUCCUGACUUUAUUAUAGGAGGUAUAUUCUGCCCAGUGAACUAUUCAACGGCCGCGGUACCCUGACCGUGCAAAGGUAGCAUAAUCACUUGCCUUUUAAUUGAAGGCUGGAAUGAACGAACCAACGUGAGCUUAGCUGUCUCCGUCAUACACAUAAAAAUUAACCUUCAGGUGAAAAGGCCUGAAUAUAACUAAAAGACAAGAAGACCCUAUCGAGCUUCAUUGCUAAAUUAUUAUAAUACCUAACCCAAAUUUAAGCCCAUAUAAUAACUAAGCUAUUUUGUUGGGGCAACAAAGGAACACCUAAAGCUUCCUAAAUCCAAUAAACUAACAAACCACGACCCAAACAAUUGAUCAAAGGACAAAGCUACCGUAGGGAUAACAGGUUAAUUUUUCUCGAGAGCCCACAUUAACAGAAAAGUUUGACACCUCGAUGUUGGCUUAGGCUACCCCAUUAAUGCAGAAGUUAAUAACGGUGGGUUUGUUCAACCCUUAAUAGCCUACAUGAGCUGAGUUCAGACCGGCGCAAGCCAGGUUAGCUUCUAUCUUUAGCAUUCUACCUCCUCCCGUUUGUACGAAAGGACCACGGCAGGUAAAAACAAUUUAAUACUUAAAGAAAUUAUCUAACCUACACUAUCUACUUUAAAUUCUUACAUC